AUGGCUGCGACGAGAAAGUUGCAAGGUGAAAUAGAUCGGUGCCUUAAAAAAGUAACGGAGGGUGUGGAAACCUUUGAAGAUAUUUGGCAGAAAGUUCAUAAUGCCACCAACAGCAAUCAGAAGGAAAAGUACGAGGCAGACCUUAAAAAGGAAAUCAAGAAACUUCAAAGGUUACGCGAUCAGAUCAAGAGCUGGAUCGCGUCGGGUGAGAUCAAGGAUAAGAGCACGCUUCUCGAGUACAGGAAGUUAAUCGAAACUCAAAUGGAAAGAUUUAAAGUUGUGGAAAGAGAAACAAAAACAAAGGCUUAUUCCAAGGAAGGCUUGGGUGCGGCACAAAAGCUCGAUCCGGCACAGAAGGAAAGAGAAGAAGUCAGUAAUUGGCUGGCCAAUUCUAUAGAUGCUCUCAAUAUACAGCUGGACACGUUUGAAUCAGAGAUAGAGUCGUUAUUGGCAGGGAAGAAAAAAAGGUUAGACAAAGAUAAACAAGAUAGGAUGGACGAGUUGAAGACGAAACUCGAUAAACACCGCUAUCAUAUCCGUAAAUUGGAAACAUUGUUACGUAUGCUCGACAAUAUGUCCGUCGAGGUCAACACGAUUAAGAGGAUAAAAGAGGACGUUGAAUAUUAUAUUGAAUCUUCUCAAGAUCCUGACUUUGAGGAAAACGAAUAUAUAUACGACGAUAUUAUCGGCCUUGACGAAGUUGAGUUAUCCGGAGUUGGUAUCCCUUCGUCAGCAACAACAGACAGUAACAAUAGCAACGAAACCGGCGGCACACCGACUUCGACUAAUUCCUGCACAUCGCCGUCCGCCAUACCAUCGCCACCACUGAGUUCUACUUUGCAUAAUCACUCGAGCGACAGUUCUACGGAGAAUGAUAAGAAAACAAAGCCUGUAAAACCAACAGCAGUCAGGCCGUUACUGAAUACGCAAGCGAGCAUUCCAACAACGGGAAGCACUGCCACCAUCAAAUCGAAUAUGUUAUCGAGCAGCACUCCGAGUAAAACCAUUCCCAUGACACCUAGCCAUAGCUCGCCUAGUUCUACGAGCAAUCACAUCGCCACUACAAACGUCGGCAAUUUCGCCACCGUAGCUGCCUCGCACAGUAAUUCGCAAGCCAUUCAUUCUACCUCUAAUAAAACAUCCAGUCACAACAGCGAAAAUGGCAUUUUGUCGUCGUCGUCGUCGUCAUCUACAUCCAACGUUACGACCAAUGUGCCACUGACGGUCGCGCAGCAGCACAGUAAUAAUCCGCCACCGCCACCGCCGCCGACACAGACGACGCAUGUACUGCAUAGCCAGCAGAGUCAGAAUCAUAAUAGCGAAACGGAGAUCGUUACGCCGGUACCACCAUCCUCGUCGCCGCAGUCGUCCGUUAGCAGUAGAUCCUCACCGCUACCUGUGAAUUCCUGCUCGCCAGCACCGUCCACUGCCAAUGGUCUCAUCCCUAAGCUACCCGACAGCAUGUCCUCUCUAAAAUCCAUCGCCCAACAAGUCAUUGUCCGAGCAGGUCUUGAGAUACCUCCAUCCGAGUCGAGUCGAAACAUCUUCGAUAGUGCCAAGACGAACAGUAAUAACAAUAACAAUGCAACGUCGGAAGCACACAUUCCUCCUUUGCUCGGGGUUGCACCCCUCGGACCUGUACCUUUGCAAAAGGAACACCAGUUGCAGUUUCAGAUGAUGGAAGCCGCCUAUUAUCAUAUGCCGCAUCCAUCCGACUCUGAAAGAUUACGUUCGUAUUUGCCGAGAAAUACGUGCACGACACCACCUUAUUACCAGCAGGUUCAGCUUCCCCAUUCGGAUACCGUGGAAUUCUUCCAGCGUCUUUCCACGGAAACCUUAUUCUUCAUAUUUUAUUACAUGGAAGGCUCCAAGGGGCAAUAUUUGGCAGCGAAAGCUCUGAAGAAACAGAGUUGGAGGUUUCAUACCAAGUACAUGAUGUGGUUCCAGAGGCACGAGGAGCCGAAAGUUAUCAACGAAGAAUACGAGCAGGGGACGUACAUCUAUUUUGAUUAUGAAAAAUGGGGACAGAGAAAGAAAGAAGGCUUCACUUUUGAGUAUAAGUACUUAGAAGACAGAGACCUGAAUUAACAGUUCCGUCGCUCAUUUUAUCUCCGAGAUACGUCGUUCCUGUACCGAUAUUGUGUACCCGAGGGAGAAAUUUCGCGGAGAAUAUGUUUCUGUUCGUCGGUAAUGGGAUAUGUAAGAAAGAAAAAUUAAAUCGAGGAACAAAAACACUCGUGCAUACAAGGCAAUGAAGGCAUUUCAUUACAUUUUGACACCGCGACGAUAUAAAAUCUCUUAUAAUUGAUCUUUUCCCCGAGAGUAAACUGCAAGAUAGAUUACAGCAAAAGAGAACGAAGAAAAACAGACUAACAGCGAGACAAAGAGUUAUUCGGUGUGCUGUAUGUGAUAUCGAGGGGUGGAUAGGAGAGAAGGGAAGUAAUUGCACUAGUUGGCGACUGAUUCUGUAAUACCAGUACAAACAUGCGUGCGACCCAUCCGCCGUCUGCUAAGGUGGAGGGCGCUCAUGCUAUGGUAUGUCUUAAUGUUAGAUUAUAAGUAGCCUUUUUGUAUAAAGUGUAUCGAGGUAUAAAACUUAAAUUGAAUUACUGUACAGAAUGUGUAGAAAUAGUGAAUAAUAAUACUAUGGAAUAUA
rnacentral:misc_RNA from 1 species